GACGAACGCUGGCGGCGUGCCUAAUACAUGCAAGUUGAGCGCUGAAGGUUGGUCCUUGUACCAACUGGAUGAGCAGCGAACGGGUGAGUAACGCGUGGGGAAUCUGCCUUUGAGCGGGGGACAACAUUUGGAAACGAAUGCUAAUACCGCAUAAAAACUUUAAACACAAGUUUUAAGUUUGAAAGAUGCAAUUGCAUCACUCAAAGAUGAUCCCGCGUUGUAUUAGCUAGUUGGUGAGGUAAAGGCUCACCAAGGCGAUGAUACGUAGCCGACCUGAGAGGGUGAUCGGCCACAUUGGGACUGAGACACGGCCCAAACUCCUACGGGAGGCAGCAGUAGGGAAUCUUCGGCAAUGGACGAAAGUCUGACCGAGCAACGCCGCGUGAGUGAAGAAGGUUUUCGGAUCGUAAAACUCUGUUGGUAGAGAAGAACGUUGGUGAGAGUGGAAAGCUCAUCAAGUGACGGUAACUACCCAGAAAGGGACGGCUAACUACGUG
rnacentral:rRNA from 1 species